rnacentral:rRNA from 1 species
AUUGGACGCUGGCGGCAUGCCUUACACAUGCAAGUCGAACGGCAGCACGGGGGCAAUCCUGGUGGCGAGUGGCGAACGGGUGAGUAAAGUAUCGGAACGUGCCCAGUCGUGGGGGAUAACGUAGCGAAAGUUACGCUAAUACCGCAUACGAUCUAUGGAUGAAGGCGGGGGAUCGCAAGACCUCGCGCGAUUGAAGCGGCCGAUAUCAGAUUAGGUAGUUGGUGGGGUAAAGGCUCACCAAGCCGACGAUCUGUAGCUGGUCUGAGAGGACGACCAGCCACACUGGGACUGAGACACGGCCCAGACUCCUACGGGAGGCAGCAGUGGGGAAUUUUGGACAAUGGGCGAAAGCCUGAUCCAGCCAUGCCGCGUGCAGGAUGAAGGCCUUCGGGUUGUAAACUGCUUUUGUACGGAACGAAAAGGUUUGGCCUAAUAAGCUGAGCUCAUGACGGUACCGUAGGAAUAAGCACCGGCUAACUACGUGCCAGCAGCCGCCGUAA